UUUUUAGAUAUCCCUUGACGCUAUUCUUUCUUUCCAGGAAUGAGAAUCCAGCAUAUCCUUUUUGUGAAGUUAUAUGCAUUUUAGUGUUGUUAAGCCCUUAUUAGAUUUGUAAAUUUACCUUUCAUUUUUUGAUAACCAUAGUGUACACAGCAUCUAAUUCUUCAUUUCAGACAAAAGCUGAAUAUAUGUGGGGUUUUAAUCUGAAAAAGCAGUGCAUUGGCAUUUGAUAUAGUCAUUUUUGAGAAUAAAGAAAAUGAAUUAAUGGCUGAAAUUCUGUCUCUUGUGAUAUUUUAAUUUUUCUGAUUUCCUGUAAAAAGAUUUAAAAUUAUUUUUUUUAAUCUUUUUUACAGGAAAUCAGAAAAAUGUUCCUAAUAUAAGGACCGUUUAAGUUGUUUUAACCGUCUGUGCUUGCCACUCACUAAAGUAGAUUAUAUUUUGUGAGAUUAAAAUCUCAGUUUAAGGUAACCUCUUAUUGAGCUAUUGCUCCUGAGUGCAUAGACUUGUUUAAUGAACAUAUUUAAGAGAAGCCUCUUCAUGCAAAUAACCUUGAAUGGUGGAAUAUGAAUAUUUAGACACAAACUAAAUUAUCUUAAAGCCAAAACCCUAGUGGUUAUAGCAAUUUUAUAUUAAUUUAAUAUUUGGUUUUAAAUCAUCACCAGUCUAGAGUCAAAACUCUUAUGUAAAUCUAUGGUCUAUUGAAAAUAUUUUGCUAAUUGCAUCCAGAUGAUUUGCAGAGGUUGAAGUAGUAAAUCAGCACUAAAGAAGCGGCCUCUUCUCCCUAUCUUUCUUCACUGCAACUAUUGUAGGAAUGAACCUGUAGGGUAGAAGUUGCAGUUUUAAGCUAUAUUUAAAUGUUAAGUGGUUACAAGAAAUCUUCAGCAUGAAAUAAAUUGUAUUGAUAAACAUGCCUUUUAAUGUAUUAAUAAAUAAAAUAACAUUUGAAGAGAGUCAUAAUUUGACAUUUUUACUGGAAAUUGUAAUUUUUAUCUCUUCCUUCUCAUUCUCCCAGUGAUAAGACCAUCACUUUGUAUAAUUUACUGUGACACAAUGACUAGCUCUAUUUAAUCAUCUUUUGGGCAAUCACUUAGUUAUCUAGAAAGCACCACUGUUCCUUAGGCCUUCUUGCUAAAUAUACUAGGAAAGAUAUUAGAGAAGGAGAUGUCUUUUGAGUAUGUUAAUAUUAGAAGGCUCUCCCUCUUCACUAGUGCCUCAGGCAUACGUAUGUAGUACAUCUGUCACUGUUUCCGUAUGUCUUUAAACUCAUAAUGAAUUGCAGAACUUUCUAUAUGUCUGUCAGUCUACAGUGCAUGACUCUCCAGUACUGCAUAGAUCAUUGACAGAUGCAACCCAUUUUCAAUCAGACGACCCUGGUGUCUUUACAUAGUUCAAAAUCCAUUAUUCGAGAUAGGAAACAAGCUGCAAAUGCAUUCCAGUUGCAACAUUCCUUCCUCUCUUUUCACUGUGUACAAUAUAUAAAAGAUGAUUCACAUGAUCAGAAGAGUAGGUAUGGAAUUAGUAGGAUUAUAUCCUAGUUCUUCUGGGACUAGUGUUCAGCUAAGCAGUACACUAGAAAAGUAUUUUGUCCCUAUUCUGAUCCACACUCCAUUCUUCAGAUUAGUACCCCGUUAUAGUGUCACCAAUACUGAAGUCAGUUGCCCCUAGCAUCUCAGUCGGAAACUACGCCAGCCACCCGUUUUUCAGAAAUGGAGUCAGAACAUUUGCAAUUUUAGAGCCAGGACAAUGUUGUAUUGUGAGAUUUGUUUUCUUCUUCUUCUUCUGCCCAUCUCUCUGAACUAGAUGCUAUCAUGAUGACCUUAGAUUUGUACCUUCUGUGUCAGUCUGGUUAACUUAAGUGUAGCCAUUGAUCCAGACA